ensembl:lncRNA
GUCAGACCAGAGGCCCUACCCCCACCUAAGCUUAGAUAUGAGGCCCUGUUUCCCUUAGCACAGUAUCCCCCCCUCUCUCUCUCUCUCUCUCUCUCUCUCUCUCUCUCUCUCUCUAACCAGCCCUCUCUCUCUCUCCCUCUCCCUCUCUCUCUCUCUCUCUAACCAGCCCUCUCUCUCUCUCCCUCUCUCUCUCUAUGCUCAGAGCAUUUCUCUUAGUACAGCAUCACUGUUACCCAUGCAUUACCUACAUGCCAUAAUAUUUCAUGCGAUGAUGUCACUACUUUGUGAGGUGUUUCCUGCGGUUACCGGGGGUCCCCAUGCUCUGUUGCUGUAUCAACCCGCCGUAGGGCUGUGGCUACCGUGGUUACUGGAGCAGCAAAUUGGAAAUGGAUGUCGUGGCAGAUUUAUGAAUAGGCGGCUUCCCCUUUAAAUAAGUGGCUUCACCUAGGGUUGUGGCUUCCCCUUUAAAUAAGUGGCUUCACCUAGGGUUGUGGCUUCCCCUUUAAAUAAGUGGCUUCAACUAGGGUUGUGGCUUCCCCUUUAAAUAAGUGGCUUCACCUAGGGUUGUGGCUUCCCCUUUAAAUAAGUGGCUUCACCUAGGGUUGUGGCAGUCAUUACGUUUUGUCAGCCCUUUUAUUGUCAUGCAAAUGACUGCCGGUCUCACGGUAAUUGACCGUUAAUUAAAAUAAACAAGUUUGUUAUUUCCAGGUCUCCAAGUAUACAAACUGCUGAGUCUAAUUAAUAUAGACCAUCACAAUAAAUCCAUUAUUUAUUUUAGGCAGGUCUAAAGCUACAUCUUGAUAUGAAGAAAAUGUAUUUCAGAAUAUCAGUCGGCCUACUGUAGGUUAUCUGGCUAUGCACCAUGCCAAUGGCAGCCGAGGCUGUAGUUCAUUGAGCAGACAAGAUAUGCUUAGAUAUCUGUGCCAUUAUUUUAAUAUUGUAUGAUAAGAAUAGAAUCAAAAGGAAAUGUUUCCCAUUCUGGAGCAAGUGCACAUACUACGGGGUUAUGUUGAGCUUAAAGGUGAUCAUUUGAAACAGGUCCAAUAUACUAGAUUUAGAGUUAUUUGGCAACUUUAGUUGUGGAUGAUACAAACCUUAGAAUGUGUCAGAAAAUCAUAACAUAUAUGGGUGCAUGAUGGGACUAUAGGAUAUUGAUUAUUAGUAAUAAAAAAAGGCAACAAAUCAUCUCAAGCCCAUUUGUGUGUGAAGUAUUGUGGCAACAGCAGUAAACUGUGUAGUCGUCAAAAACAACACAGGGAUAAAUGUACUGUAACAGUUCUUUGUCCAAAGGCUGAAUACUGGUAAACACACUCUCUCUCACUCCAUCUUCCUAUACAGUCUCAGCAGAAAGGGUACCAACAAUGUCACUGUUGUUAUAGUGCUUAUCUUGUUACCAUGGUAAUGUUUGGUGUUGGCACAGAGACAGGUCCCAGUCUAGUACUGGAUGAAACUAUCCAGCUGCUACUGUACAGCACAGCAGAGUCACCAUGGGACGCUCAACGUCAAUGUUCACAUCCCAAAUGGAGGGGUUGCAAAUGGCACCCUAUUCCCUAUAUAGUGCACUACUUUUGACCCGAGGUCUAUGGACCCCAGUCAGAAGUAGUGCACUACAUGGGGAAUAGGGUGCCAUUUGGGAUGCACAGAGUGACCUCACAGUGAGCAUCAUGCUGGCCAGACACCCGUCAGUGACCAUCAGGCUGGCCAGACACCAGUCAGUGACCAUCAAGCUGGCCAGACACCAGUCAGUGACCAUCAAGCUGGCCAGACACCAGUCAGUGACCAUCAAGCUGGCCAGACACCCGUCAGUGACCAUCAGGCUGGCCAGACACCAGUCAGUGACCAUCAAGCUGGCCAGACACCAGUCGACGUGCUGAAAAGCCAGGUGACAAAAUAGAAGAGGAGCAAUCAAUGGAAGCUGCUGACAGAGAUUGGCAGGGGAGAGAGUGAGAGAGAGAGAGAGAGGGAGAGAGUGAGAGAGAGAGAGAAAGAGGGAGAGAGACAGAGGGAGGGAGAGAGACAGAGGGAGGGAGGGGAGAGAGAGAGAGAGAGAGAGAGAGAGAGGGAGAGAGAGAGAGAGAGAGAGAGAGAGAGAGAGAGAGGGAGAGUGAGAGAGAGAGAGAGAGAGAGAGAGUGAGAGAGAGAGAGAGAGAGAGAGAGACAGAGGGAGAGAGAAAAUCAGUCGACGGCACUGUGACAAAUGUGGGUCACACCUCUGCUGUGAAAUUCAAAAAAAGUCAUUUGUUGGGAAUUGAUUUUCUAAUGACAUCAGAGAGCUGUGAAUGAGUUCCGCUCCGGUCUCCCCUGUCUACUAUAACGACACUAUUACCCAGACUGAGAACAAGACAGGGAGCGAGAGAGAGACUAAGAAACAGAGAGAGAGAGAAACAGAGAGAGAGAGACUAAGAAGGAGAGAGAGAGAGAAACAGAGAGAGAGACUGAGAAGGAGAGAGAGAAACAGAGAGAGAGACGAAGAAGGAGAGAGGGAGAGAAACAGAGAGAGAGAGACUGAGAAGGAGAGAGGGAGAGAAACAGAGAGAGAGCGACUAAGAAGGAGAGAGGGAGAGAAACAGAGAGAGAGACUGAGAAGGAGAGAGGGAGAGAAACAGAGAGAGAGAGACUGAGAAGGAGAGAGGGAGAGAAACAGAGAGAGAGAGACUGAGAAGGAGAGAGGGAGAGAAACAGAGAGAGAGAGACAGAGAAGGAGAGAGAGAGAGAAACAGAGAGAGAGACUGAGAAGGAGAGAGAGAGAGAAACAGAGAGAGAGAUGAAGAAGGAGAGAGGGAGAGAAACAGAGAGAGAGAGACUGAGAAGGAGAGAGGGAGAGAAACAGAGAGAGAGAGACUGAGAAGGAGAGAGAGAUUGAGCUUUUGACUGAGAUGGAGAGAGUGGGGGGACAAAGAGAGAGAGAAGGGAGGUCAGUGAAAACCAAGCAUGGCUUUAUGCAAAUGAACACCGUUGUGUGAAAACUCUAUUUUAUUUAGGCUUUAUUCAACUUUAUGGCAGCUGGGGGAUGAGGCUCUGGGCUCACAUGGAUGAUGUCAUCACAGGAGGUGGAUGAUGUCAUUACAGGAGGUGGAUGAUGUCCAACCACUAUGGUUGAGGAGGAGGCUAGGAAGGAAAUAGGAUACGAUGAAUCAAGGAAAGAUUAUUUGAGAUAGAGCCUUGUUCCUUGUUCCUUGUUCCUGUUUAGUGAGUCAGCUGGUUGUGUUCUACACCUACACUAUUGAACAGAUGGACAAGGGGCAAAUGCUUUAUAUUGAAUACAUUGUGGGGACUUCAUCAGACGAGGAAAAGGUCUACUUUUGCUUUAGGUAAAAUCAGUCUGGUGUUCAGAGAUUCAGCGCCGCUAAAGCGGACAGCGAAUCAGAGCUCAACGUUCAGCGGCAGUGUAGCCUAGUGGUUAGAGUGUAGAGGCGGCAGGGUAGUCUAGUGGUUAGAGUGUAGAGGCGGCAGGGUAGUCUAGUGGUUAGAGUGUAGAGGCAGCAGGGUAGCCUAGUGGUUAGAGUGUAGAGGCGGCAGGGUAGCCUAGUGGUUAGAGUGUAGAGGCGGCAGGGUAGCCUAGUGGUUAGAGUGUAGAGGCGGCAGGGUAGUCUAGUGGUUAGAGUGUAGGGGCUGCAGGGUAGCCUAGUGGUUAGAGUGUAGAGGCGGCAGGGUAGUCUAGUGGUUAGAGUGUAGAGGCGGCAGGGUAGUCUAGUGGUUAGAGUGUAGAGGCGGCAGGGUAGCCUAGUGGUUAGAGUGUAGAGGCGGCAGGGUAGCCUAGUGGUUAGAGUGUAGAGGCGGCAGGGUAGCCUAGUGGUUAGAGUGUAGAGGCAGCAGGGUAGUCUAGUGGUUAGAGUGUAGAGGCGGCAGGGUAGCCUACUGGUUAGAGUGUAGGGGCUGCAGGGUAGCCUAGUGGUUAGAGUGUAGAGGCGGCAGGGUAGCCUAGUGGUUAGAGUGUAGGGGCGGCAGGGUAGCCUUGUGGUUAGAGCGUUGGACUAGUAACCCGGAAGGUUGCAAGUUCAAACCUCCGAGCUGACAAGGUACAAAUCUGUCGUUCUGCCCCUGAACAGGCAGUUAAACCCACUGUUCCUAGGCCGUCAUUGAAAAUAAGAAUUUGUUCUUAACUGACCAGCCUAGUUAAAUAAAGGUAAAAAUAAAAAUCAGCACCGCUGAAGAGGACAGCGAAUCAGAGCUCAACAUUCAGCACCGCUGAAGCGGACAGCGAAUCAGAGCUCGACGUUCAGCACCACAUGGCAGUGGUCAGCAACUUUCUAAAGUAUUAGAGAACUAACAUAUGUAUGUAAUGUAUAAUGUGUCAUAAUGUACAGUAUAAUGUGUCUUAUUCUCUGUUAUGUUAUGACUGUCAUAAUGUACAGUAUACUGUGUGAUAAUGUACAGUAUACUGUGUGAUAAUGUACAGUAUACUGUGUGAUAAUGUACAGUAUAAUGUGUCUUAUUCUCUGUUAUGUUAUGACUGUCAUAAUGUACAGUAUACUGUGUGAUAAUGUACAGUAUACUGUGCGAUAAUGUACAGUAUAAUGUGUGAUAAUGUACAGUAUACUGUGUGAUCAUGUAAAGUAUAAUGUGUGAUAAUGUACAGUAUAAUGUGUGAUAAUGUACAGUAUACUGUGUGAUAAUGUACAGUAUACUGUGUGAUAAUGUACAGUAUAUGGGCACUGGAACUGGAUACCAUGAUGCUAUUUUAUUAGGAUCUCCAUUAGCUGUUGCAAAAUCAGCAGCUAAUCUUCCUGGGGGUCCAACACAGAACAGGAAACAUGAAAUCAUACAGAACAUUAAAAUAGACAAGAACAGCCCAAGGACAGAACUACAUAAAUUAAUUUUAAAAAGGCACACGCUGCCUACAUAUCAAUACAUACACACAAACUAUCUAGGUCAAACAGGGGAGAGGUGGUGUGCCGUGGGGUGUUAGUUUAUCUGUUUUUUUAAACCAGGUUUGCUGUUCACUUGAGCCAUAUGCUUGCAGGACUUGCUUUGUGGAGUGUGGUGUCAGAAAAGCAGAGCAUCUCUGUAUUACGGACAGACCUCUCCCCAUCUUUACAACCAUUGAAUCUAUAUGUUUUGACCAUGACAGUUUACAAUCUAAGGUAAAGCCAAGUCAUUUAGUCUCCUCAACUUGUUCAACAGACACACCAUUCAUUACCAGAUUCAGCUGAGGUCUAGAACUUAGGGAAUGAUUUGUACCAAAUACAAUGCUCUUAGUUUUAGAGAUGUUCAGGACCAGUUUAUUACUGGCCACCCAUUCCAAAACAGACUGCAAUUCUUUGUUAAGUGUUUCGGUGACUUAGCCGUGGUUGCUGAUUCGUAUAUAUGGUUGAAUCAUCAGCAUACAUGGACACACAGACUUUCUUUAAUGUCAGUGGCAGGUCAUUGGUAAAAAUAUAAAAGAGUAGAGGGCCUAGAGAGCUGCACUGCGGUACACCGCACUUUACAUUUGACAUUAGAGAAGCAUCCAUUUAAAGAAACACCUUUGCGUUCUAUUAGAUAGAUAGCUCUGAAUCCACGAUAUGGCAGAGGCUGAAAAGCCAAAACAUGUACAUUUUUUUCAACAACAUGUUAUGGUUAAUAAUAUCAAAGGCUGCACUGAAAUCUAACACUACAGCUCCCACAAUCUUCUUAUUAUCAAGUUCUUUCAACCAAUCAUCAGUCAUUUGUGUCAGUGCAGUACAUGUUGAGUGCCCUUCUAUAUAGGCAUGCUUAAAGUCUGUUGUUAAUUUGUUUACAGAAAAAUAGCAACACAAUUGUACUUUUACGGAAUGACUUAGGCUUCCCUCCAGGCCUGAGGACAAAUACUUUCCCCUAGACUCAGAUUAAAGAUAUGACCGAUAGGAGUGGCUAUAGAGUCAGCUAUCAUCCUCAGUAGCUUUCCAUCUACGUUGUCAAUGCCAGGAGGUUUGUCAUUAUUGAUCGAUAACAAUCAUUUUUCCAUCUCUCCCACACUGACUUUACAAAAAUCACACAUAGAACUGAUGUCCUCUCUCAAUGACUAGGUUAGCUGCUAGGCCAAAUAACUCCUCAGACCCAGCCUUGGUCGGCAGGAUCACUGGACAGAGAGUAGCAGACCUAGCAACAGAUGCCAAAUGCGUCGCGGGAUCCAAACUAAAAGGUUUUCUAGCUACAAAGAAACUUUCCAAUACACUUUUAAAACAGCAAACUCUCCAAAACAGCAAACCGAGCUGUCCCUCGUUCCGCAUUUAACAGGAAGUGACAGGAAGUGACGAGAGUAAAGGGAAGAGCAUAUUACACCAUGCUAUAAACAUACACACACGCACACACACGCACACACACGCACACACACACACACGCACACACACACACACACACACAGUACUUCCUCUUCAUCGUAUUUACUUGCCUUGUUUGGGUUCUGACAUCAUUAUGCCUCUUCUAAGUAACAUAAACAAGUCAAACGCUCUUGAUUUGUGGUGGGGGAUAAAUAAACAAGUAAAUAAAUAAAUAUUCUGCAAGUGGAUUAUCUCUGAGUCAUUCCAGUCUUUGAGAACACCUGAAGCAGUUUUUUUUAUUUGCUUGAUUAUCUUUUAAGUGACUGUCAUGAAUGCCAAUCCUAAUUUAUGAUAAUAUGGCAUCCCUCCCCUUCCUCCUCCUCAUCCUCCUCCUCAGCCUCUUCAUCCUCCUCAGCUUCCUCCUCCUCCUCAUCCUCCUCCUCCUCCUCAUCCUCCUCCUCCUCAUCCUCCGCAUCCUCCUCCUCCUCAUCCUCCUCCUCUUCCUCUUCCCUAAACAGAAGUGGUUAGAUUUCACUUUCAGGCAGUUGAUUUUGACACUUGCUGCAUGGCAACUGAAUGUCAGAAACCGUAAACACGAUCAGUUUGGUCUGUCUUGUGUCUGCUGUGAGUAGAUAAACAGUAAUGGUAGGUAUAUGGCAUUAAAGAUACAUUCACUGUAAACUCUACACGCCCCUCCAACCCCCCCGGUCUGCAGCAGUCCCUCAAAGUGUUUUGUAAUUCUAGUGUUGUCUCUAGCUAGCUGUCGUUGCACUGGGAGACUUUUAUGGUGCUGGCAAGGUACAUACUGACACCACACACACACGCACGCACGCACGCACACACACACACACACACACACACACACACACACAUUUAGCUAGUUGCCUCUACUGUGAGAAUGUUACGAUACUGACAGGGUUUUCUCGUUUUCACUGAGUGAAAUAUAAUAUUUGGCUAGUGAAGAGGUUUGCUUUGGGCAAGAGCUGGUCACAUAAGAACUGUGUCUGCCUACGUGCCUGUGUGUGUGUGUCUGUGUAUGCGUACAUACUCGGCCUCCCCAGCUUCAUCAGUAUUCAGUCAGUGUGUAGAGUCAGUGGUCCUGCCUCCCCCACCCCAUGGUUUCUAGUGGAGGAACAGAGAGCCACACCUGAAAUGAGAGCCAGAGAGCCGUUCAGUCUGCCACCCAGGCCUGUGGGGAUAAUGACGGCCUUUGAUGGCUGGACGAGAAAAAAAAUCCAAACUUCCACUUCAGAGCCGCUUCAGGGACUCCCAUUACAUGACCACUAUUUUCUCUACACUGUUUUUGUGUAAACAUCGGUCUAAUCUGUAUAAUCGGUCUAAUCUGUAUAAUCGGUCUAAUCGGUAUAAUCUGUAUAAUCGGUCUAAUCUGUAUAAUCUGUAUAAUCUGUAUAAUCUGUAUAAUCUGUAUAAUCGGUCUAAUCGGUAUAAUUGGUCUAAUCGGUAUAAUUGGUCUAAUCGGUAUAAUCUGUAUAAUUGGUCUAAUCGGUAUAAUCUGUAUAAUUGGUCUAAUCGGUAUAAUCUGUAUAAUUGGUAUAAUCUGUAUAAUUGGUCUAAUCGGUAUAAUCUGUAUAAUUGGUCUAAUCUGUAUAAUCUGUAUAAUCUGUAUAAUUGGUCUAAUCUGUAUAAUCUGUAUAAUCUGUAUAAUCUGUAUAAUCGGUAUAAUUGGUCUAAUCUGUAUAAUCUGUAUAAUCUGUAUAAUCGGUAUAAUCGAUCAGUCCAGAUAGAAAUACAGUAAUUAUAUUUCAAGGUUUAAACAAAAGUCUGCAUUAACUUGCUAAGCUAAAGCCUAGAUGCUAAGGGAGUGGGUUCACCAAAACACUAGUCUUCUUGGGAGCGGGUUCACCAAACCACUUUAAACCAGUUCCGUACAGCUCACCACACUUAGCCCUAGAUGGUUAUGCUCAAACGAUGCUGACAGUCUACCGAGAGACUAAAGGGCGCAGCUUUCUCAGACUGCAGUCUAUUGAUUAACUAGAGGAGGCACACGUUUCAUCUCUGUCACUCCCAUGAGGGAUCCAAAUGAAGAGGGGAGGAGAGAGAGUGGAACAGAAAAAGAGGUUGGAGAGAGAGGGAAAGAGAGAGAGAAAGAGUUCAGAAUAGAGGAAGAGAGAACGAGAGGGGCAGAGAAAGAAAGAGAGAGAGGUGAAAGAGAACAGAGGGAGAAAGAAAGUGAGCGGUAGAGAGAGAGAGAGAGAGAGAGAGAGAGAGAGAGAGAGAGAGAGAGAGAGAGAGAGAGAGCAACAGUAAAAGCUGGCACCGAAUGUGGAUCUAACGUUUAUCUGCCGAUCUUUCAGCACCUCUGUGUUUUAGGGACCACCAUCUGUAGACACAAUGUUCAAGGGAUUCUACAUGUAAAAUCAGUGCUCACUCGGUUAGGUUCAGAGGUGCUCAGUAGUCUCGGCCAGAAAACGCUAUUGGUGUGUUUCUGAGCUCUUAGAGAAAGACAGAUCAACUGAAGGAGGAGGCACAUGUUUAAUUACCACACUAUUCACAACAAUGAGGGACACAAAUGAAGGGGAGACAGAGGGAGAAAGAAAGAAAGAGAAGACAAAAUUAGAAACAGAGAAAGAGAGAGGGAGAUCAACUGAAAAAACACACACAUUUAAUCUGGAGAAAGAGGUCCAAAUUAGGACCUGAAGGAAACCACAGAGAUUCUGGAGUCCAACACAACAUUUGCCCUGACAGAGAUAUAUGUAUAGAGCUUCUAGAAAACAUCCAAUUAGACUAAAAGAGAAUCGAGCUCCAAAGCCAACUCACCCACUCAUUGUUCGUAUCUUUGUCCUGUAACUAAGCAGCUAAAUUGGGUGAUGUAUGAUAUAGUUUAGCUGGCUAACUUCAACGUGCUUCAUAAUCAUAAUUAGGCAGAGAGAGAGAGAGAGAGAGAGAAGGAGACCGUCAUAGAGGAUUUGUUCUAGUUGUGGCUUCAGUACUGUAGCUAUAGCUAUAAGGUUGUGUGCUGUGCUGGUCUCUAUCUCUAGUGCAAAUGCUAUCUGUUCUUCAUAUGGAGAGACAGAGAGACAGUCUCAGGUGUUUUUUUUAGUGAAUUAAAAAUUGCAUGAUACCUAUAAGGGUUAUGUGCUGGGUGGGCCUCUGGUGCAAACCACUUACACGAUCGUACACAGAUGCAGUCAUCAUUGUUGCUACUCUGGGUCAGGGUGUGUGUGUGUGUGUGUGUGUGUGUGUGUGUGUGUGUGUGUGUGUGUGUGUGUGUGUGUGUGUGUGUGUGCCUGAGUGCUCAGGGGCAGGAGUGUUUUUGCCAACCCACUGAUAUCCAUCUUUAAUCAAGAGAGCUAGGAGACAAAUUUACAUGAAACCCUAUCAGAGAUAUGUACAUGCUACACAUGCCCUGGAAGAGAGGUGGUGCCUGAGGAGAGGUGGUGCCUGAGGAGAGGUGGUGCCUGAGGAGAGUUGGUGCCUGAGCAUAGGUGGUGCCUGAUGAGAGGUGGUACCUGAUGAGAGGUGGUGCCUGAGGAGAGGUGGUGCCUUAAGAGAGAGGUGGUGCCUGAGGAGAGUUGGUGCCUGAGCAUAGGUGGUGCCUGAUGAGAGGUGGUACCUGAUGAGAGGUGGUGCCUGAGGAGAGUUGGUGCCUGAGCAUAGGUGGUGCCUGAUGAGAGGUGGUACCUGAUGAGAGGUGGUGCCUGAGGAGAGUUGGUGCCUGAGCAUAGGUGGUUCCAGAGCAGAGGUGGUGCACGAGGAGAGGUGGUGCCUGGGGGGAGAUGGUGCCCGAGGAGAGGUGGUACCUGAGUGAAGGUGGUGCCUGAGGAGAGGUGGUGCCCGAGGAGAGGUGGUGUCUGGGAGGAGAUGGUGCCUGAGGAGAGGUGGUGCCUGAUGAGAGAUGGUGCCUGAGGAGAGGUGGUGCCUGAGGAGAGGUGGUGCCCGAGGAGAGGUGGUGUCUGGGAGGAGAUGGUGCCUGAGGAGAGGUGGUGCCUGAUGAGAGAUGGUGCCUGAGGAGAGGUGGUGCCUGAGGAGAGGUGGUGCCUGAGGAGAGGUGGUGCCUGAGGAGAGGUGGUGCCUGAGGAGAGGUGGUGCCUGAUGAGAGGUGGUGCCUGAGGAGAGGUGGUGCCUGAGGAGAGGUGGU